AAAUAAGAAGCAACUAAUUGCAGCUAAUUUCGACCUAGCCCUAGAUUUAUUAAAAAUCCUUAUUUA
rnacentral:tRNA from 1 species